GUUAUGAAUGCUAAGCUAACGGGCUUCACUCAGUUGUUUUGUCUGACUCGUGCGUGUGGCAGAUAUACGGGAUGAAUUUUAGGAUUUGAGGCAUUGCCAUCCAGUUUUAUACACAGUAUCUUUGGUUUAGUUUUAAAGAGCAGAGGAGAGGAACAAGAGAGGAGGGAGCCUAAUGCAGUCUGCUGCAGAGACUGUGGAGAAUGCCUCCAUCCUCUCAGGUGGCUCGGCACAGGACGGUCAUCGGCUCUGGAUCGGCAACAUUGACCCCAAAAUCACAGAGUACCACCUAGUGAAGCUCCUGGAGAAGUUUGGCAAAGUGAAGCAGUUUGACUUCCUGUUCCACAAGUCAGGUCCUCUGGAGGGCCAACCAAGAGGAUACUGCUUUGUCAACUUCCACACCAAAGAGGAGGCUGAACAGGCUAUUCAGUGUCUGAAUGGAAAACUGGCACUUUCUAAGAAGUUAGUGGUGCGUUGGGCUCAUGCUCAGAAGUUUGAACCCUUCAGAGGGGACAAAAAUGUGCCAGCCAGUUUAGAGCCUUCAUCCAGUGAAGCAGAGCAGCUGCCAUCCACACUGAGUGUUAAUGCAAAGAUCCGUGCCAUCGAAGCCAAGCUGCAGAUGAUGGAAGAAAACCCAGAUGACUAUCCCGGCCCAUCUGUGUACAUCUACAACAAACCCCCCGAUAAAAGAGACAAGAGGUCCCAGCCUUACUACAAGCCGUUCCGCAAAUUCAGGAGAUGACCUCUCCAACAACUGGCCAAGUGUCUCUGCACUGAGCGGACUGUGAAAUGUGCGGAGAUAAGCUGCUCUUGUCUCUUGGCCAGUGUGAGACUGUAAUGUAUUAUGAGAAGAGAGUGUCCAAGACCUUCGAUUGGUAGUGCUGUUCUGUUUCUCAGCCAGCGGAGGAGUCUUUUUACUGUGAAAGACAGCUGAUGUAAGCAAAAUCUAACCACAAAAUUCUAGUGAAUUUAGUUUUUCCUUUUUCGAAUAUUGAUGUUACCCAAGUAAUUGCAGUUCUUCAGGUUUUAAAGGGAUAGUUCAGUUAAAGGAUGACAGUUCUUUCAUCAUGUACUCGCCCUCAUGUCAUUCCAAACCAAAGAAACAAGAGUACGGGUUCGAAAAAACAUGGAGGUACAUAAAUCAUGACAGAAAUUUCAUUUUUGGCUGAACUAUCCUUUUAAGAGUUCUGCACCUCUUCAAAAUCUCAAUUUACAUCCCUUUCUAGAUACCCUUUCUGAAUAUACAGUAUCUCACAUUGAUUUUUAUUCACUUGUAAACUGCCCAAAAGUGUUGUUGUGUGUUGUGAGUCUUAUGAUCCUAAAUCUACUACUCAGACUUUCCCAUUCUUUGUUACACUGUUGUAUGUGUAAAGGAAGCACAAUAUUUAGCAUUGUUUAUUUAACUAUUAAUAUCUUGCCUUUUUAAGUCUAAAGUGAAAAGGGCUUUUAUCAUAUGAUCUGGAGAGGGGGCAUCACAGUUGAUGUCAUGAACCGUUUUGAUCAAGUGUAAAUAUCCAGGUAUUUUGAUAGAUUUUGCUCCUGUCGUGUCCAAAAUGAAAUGAAACGGUGUUCAAACUGUAUUCUCGUGCUUUUAUUUGAAAUUGACAUGUUUGUUGGACAUCGCUUUGAACUGUCUGUAAUGAUCGAUAAUAGGCUAGGGCUGUAGUGACAAUUUUUAUAGCACCGUUGUCUCAGUAGCCUACGUUUAUUUAUAAGACUGCCACCGUUUUCAAUUACGAACAGGCCUAGUGAUGAGUAUACCGUAGUUAUAGUCUCUUCCCAUAAGCAGAAUUUAAUUCAAUAUCAGUUGAACCCUAAAAUAAUCUGUUUUCUUAUUUAUUAAAACUCGUUCGUUUUUAAAUUCGGAUUAGCAUGCGUCAUUAGCGGACUUUCAUGCCAAUAUAGCGAAUCUGACCCCCUCUCAAUUUCAUUUUAUUCUAUUUUAUUUAUUAUUUUUGAGUUACUGGGUUCAUUUAUUUUUCGACACUACCUUUCCUGAUGUUUGUGAUAUUAAAAUAAGUGGUCACAUUGACUAACGAGGCAAGUUAACGCCAUGUACACUUAAAAAUAAAGGUUCUUCAUUUGCA